GUGCAGGGAGCGAAGGCCAAGCUAUAGCUUCUCAUUCCAAUCUGUCCUAUAAGAUAAAUGAGCUGUGUAUGCAUGUGGAACACUGUGAUGUGCUUGGCUCGGUGCCAUAUCUAAACUGCAGCUGCCAACACAGUUCUCAAUGCUUCUGGGC